AUGCAUUAUGUCUGCAAAGACAGCUUACAUUUUGAUUUCUAUAAAAUAAUUCUCUGCUAGGAUGCGUCAGAGAAACUUUAUUUAAUAAUUUAAAAGCUGUAUUUUGCUCUUGUUGCCAGUUUCAUCUGUUGGAAUAAAGUUUCCAGCCCACUGCAUGCUUUUGCUCACCAUCUUCUAUCAGCACAAAUCAGCUCUGGCAGAUUUAUACAAAUGAUCCUUUUGUGGGAAAAGCAUAUCCAAUGUGUUAAUGGCAACAGCAACUAAAGUAGAGGAGAACACAUACACUGUGAAAACUUUUAAUUCGCAAAAAAAAAAAAAAAAAAACCUGAGCAAGAAGAAUGUGUUUCAUCACUGAAAAGAGUUUGUUGGAUUUGUGGAUUUCUACUGAAGCUUAUUAGAGCAGCAGUUGCCUCCCAAAUCCUACACUGUGAGAACCAUGUGACAAUGGCCAUGCUAAACCCAGUGCUAAAGAAUCCCAGCUUUAUGGUUAUCAUGGCACAUUGGCAGCAGAAAGGAAAGUUUCAUGCUUGUGUGUGUGUGUGUGUGUGUGUGUGUGUGUGUGUGUGUGUGUGUGCGUCUAUCUUUUAUGUGGGUCACCCCACCAUGUCUAAUGGCCCCUUGCUGCGUGCAGCGUCCUGCGCUGAGCUGCUCCCUGCUGUCACACUCACACACACAAACAAAUGCAUAGACACAGUGGGGGAGACUUCGGGGUGUCCCUCACCCUAAUACCCUCCACAAUACACCACCACUGCAUCUCCUGCUCCUGUUCUCAAAGUUGAAAGUUGAUCAGUGAAGCGCUAGCAUGUCCUCCUCAUCUCCCUUCUCUCUCUUCUCUCUCGCUCUCUACAUUUUCUUAUUUUUUGAUUUCCGUCCCAUACUAAAAAUGGGAUUUUUUGCCUUUUCUCUGCUGUUGUGUGUAUUUUUUAGCCUUAGUAGUCUAGGACUGGACUUUAAGGGUUAGCUGAUUUGUGUUUUGUCUGUGUGAAAUAGAGGCAAAGGCUUAAACCCUCUGCAGGCCUCCAUCAUGCAGACAACCUGCUGGCAGCUGCCUCAAACAGGUGUAAAUACUCAGCGAACUCGUCGUGCUGCCAGGUUGGAACAUGAAACGGCCUCUCCAGCUGGAAGAACAAGUGCUGUGUGGGCUCCCUGAAGUGGUGAAGCUCAGGGUCAUUGGAGAGCCACAGCGUGUUUGGGAACAGAACAAUCUGUGUUAUUUCAGCACAGCCUGUUGGAUGGAGGGCCCUUUCACAGGCAGUAUGGAUUCAUCUUUGGCAGCAUCUCUCCAGGAUCAAACAAAAUUGGAUGUUUAACCUCACGUGUCCCAGACCUCUCGUGAUAAAGAGUUUCUCUUGUGAUAAACCGGAGUAGAGGAUUGAACGUGACCCACACUGAUUUAAUCAUAGCAUUCUAAAUGUGGCUUCAUGUGAAAAUAUGUCAACAUAUAAUUACUUAGUACAGCGCAUACAUGCUUCCUCAGGUGAGACAGAAAAUAAUAUUUCAAUCCAUGAUUCUAAGUUUAAAAGGAGCAAUCAUUUUAACCAAAAACAGUAUUUUAUUGGGCCACUGAAGCUAUUUCUAAGAGCCUUUAUUAUUUUUUUCAUUGAUGCAUUUCUCCCUUUUGAUCACUUUGUGUUUUGUUCAGGUAAAAGAGAGCGAUCUUUUGAAAUGUACAGUUGUAUUUAUUUCUUCUCUUUGCUGUUUGCCACGCAGAUGCAGAUUCACAGCUGAAACCUCUCACCUCUGCCCUCGCUUAAAGUGUGAUUAUAAGUUUAAAUUUAACAGAGGCACGGCACAAUAUAACAUUCAACAUGCAGAAAGACUCAGAAUAUACAUGUAAAAAGUGGAAGUCUAUCUGCAAUGUGGGUAAAAUGCACUUUUUGUGAGGUAAAUCACAUAAAUCUGAUCUAUUUUCUGGUGUUGCCAGGCACAGACAAAGUGUAAAAACUGUUUAUCAAUGAAAAACUUCAACAAACACUGAAUUCAGAGAUGUUUGCUUGGUGCAGAUCUUGGUGUGCAUUACAGAUUAGACAGUAAAUCAGAUGUUUAACCCUUUGCUCUUAAUCUGGACCCGGCAGUCACAGAAAGUUCAAUGGUGACUGUUUGGUUCUGAUUAAAACUCAACACAGUGACUGCAGUAUCACAUCCUCUCGUCAAUUUCCCACUGUCUUGUGUUUAAACAGGAAAUUUCUACAUUAUUCAUUCACUGGACUUGUAUUGUACUUACAUGUAUUCUGUCAUAGGAGUAAAAUAAUAAUUCUAUCACACAGAUAUUUGCAGUUUAAAAGGUUCAUGACGAGGAAAAUGUUUUUUUUAAUUAUAUUGUGUUAAAGCCAUUUGUGAGGUAAAAGCCUGAAAAUGAAAUAUGCUCUUUUACUCUAAUAUGCUCCUCUUCUUCUGGUAUUGCACUUUUAAAUUCACAUUCAAACAAUAAACUUCAGACAACAGUCACAACAUAAAACGACAAACAUUUUACGGUUGCUUUUGGAGCUGCUAUAAGAAAUGUUCUAUUUAGGUUGGAUUAGCUUUCACCAGCACAAAGGCAGAUGUAUGUUUUCAUGAAGGAGCUCACAAGUACAGCCUGUUUUACAGGAGGGUACUUGUGAGCAGGUGAAGGCUUUAAUGUAUGAUUUCCAGAGAACACAAACAUGAUUAUGUCAGACACUGCUUGUACCAUUCUCUCUGUUCAAAGAAUUUUCAUGAUAAAAUGUGUACUUUGUCAUCAGCUCCUUUUUUCAGCAUCUGUAACCACAAUCACAUUCUCUGUUGUUUGAUAUUAAAAAUAUAUGUUGGAAAAGUUGGAGGUUAAGUGCCUUGCUCAAGGACAGGAGUUAAAUGCAAAUCAGAAAACAUCUAAUCUCAAGAUUGUUUUCUAAUCAUUACUUUCUCAUUGAUGUAUGUUUUGGAAUGAAAUUAAAACAUCUGCAACCUUGAA